UACGUAGGGUGCAAGCGUUGUCCGGAAUUAUUGGGCGUAAAGAGCUCGUAGGCGGUUUGUCGCGUCUGCUGUGAAAAUCCAGGGCUUAACCCUGGACCUGCAGUGGGUACGGGCAGACUAGAGUGCGGUAGGGGAGAUCGGAAUUCCUGGUGUAGCGGUGAAAUGCGCAGAUAUCAGGAGGAACACCGGUGGCGAAGGCGGAUCUCUGGGCCGUAACUGACGCUGAGGAGCGAAAGCGUGGGGAGCGAACAGG
rnacentral:rRNA from 1 species